UCUUUUCUUCACUCUCCAUCUGUUGUUCAUUCGCAACCUCCCGAGCUGGCCUCGAUCCAUGGCCUCUCCUUCCACCCAGAUCCGAUCCGUCACCGAUCGUCCGUGGCGCGAGCGCCGGGCCUCCUCCUCAAUCUCCUCGUUCUGCGCCGCCCCGAUUACACUGUGCACACGUGCUCCGGAGCCAUGGCCGCCUUUUGUCGAGCCGCGUGAUCGAUGUCCGACCGGCGCCGCGACCGGCCUCUUGCGCAGUUCCCGACCGUCGUCCCCUGUGCCUCCUCCCGCGUCUCCCCACCUCGCCUUUGCAGCACCGUUGUUGCACGUCUCCAGCGCCAUCUGCUGCAGCCCCGCAGUCAACCGCUUGCACGCCAUGGGCAGCGGCCAUGGACCAGUUCGACAAGACCAUGGUGCUUGCGGGCGGGAUGCCCCUCGCCGCCGGCAGGGCAGGGAAGAUGUGGGAGUCCCUGGGCACUCUUGUGUGACGCCUCUGCACUGCCUUUGAGGAGCACGAUGACUGCCUGGAGGCCAAGCUGUUUGAUGUGUCCGUCAGGUCCGUACUUUCCUGCCUCUUCCCUGCCCUCCCCUCUUACUCUCAAACUCAAGCACCAACUCGACGGCAAGCACCAUGCAGCAGCUCAGUCAAAGCCCGAAAUACAUUGAACGGACAAGUGCUGAACCGGUUCACUGACUAGCCUGAUUGAUUCAAUCCCCAUGUGCUUGUGUCAAUGCCUGCAAGGGAGCAAGCGUACUGGCGGGAUGGUUGGAAGGAGAGUAAUUUGCUACAAAGCUUAUUAUUUAUGGUUAUUUCCUGAAUCUCUGGUAUAAUAUACAAUACAUUAUGUAGAAACCAAAAUGAUGUUCAUAGAGAUCUCAGAAUUAGGUGAAUAUCAUUAUGCUUGUGUUAUCUUUUUCAUUUUAUGAUUUAGCACCAGUCGCCAACUAUGGUUACCGUGUGUGGCUUGAAUCCAAUAGCAUGUGAUUGAACAAAUGAACGAAAUAUAGGUGAAACAUUUAAUUUUUAGAAGAGAUGGGUGAUACGUACUUCCGUUCAAGUGUUCCCUAAAUUUUUUCAUAGUUUGCAUUGGGACACAGUAAUUGCUUAAAGCAUUUAUUUGACUGCAAUGUUGCUUGCCGGCAUCUCCGCCAUUCAUCUUGUCAUUGACAGAAACCCCAUCUUGUCACUGAUAGAACCCCAGGCUCUUCCACCUAUAGCAAACAAAUAAAAGGACUUGAUUUAUGGGCUUGUAAAUUGGUUGUAUCUACAUGGAAGGUUUAUGGAUUGUGAACCUUUUACUCCGUCUUAUCCUUAGGCUGCACAACAUUUACUUUAGCAAAGGUCUCUCUGUUGCUGAGAUUCUUAAAAAUGGAUGGGAGUCGGUGCAAAGUACAUGGACACAUUGGUGCGAUAUUUUAAAAUUGAGAAACAGCCUCCAAGCUACUUGUGAAGGUGUCAAUUUCUGCAUUGAUAAAGAUUCAAUUAUACUUCUGAUGGGAUUUUUUCUGUUAGCUGUCUCUACAAGAGAAUGAACUUGAGAAAUAUUAAUUUCUAGAUAAAUUUCUUUGGAAAGUGAAGCUUCCCCUGAAAAUUAAAGUUUUUCAUUGCUGGUUUUGAAAAAAUAAACAUACUAACUAAAGCCAAUUUAUUCAAAUGAUGUUUUCAGGGAGAUAAAACCUGUCAAUUACGUGGUAGAGAUUAGAUUAUUGGUGCAAAGGAAUCGGUAUUACAACAGAACUUGAAGCUGACGAGGAUGGUUGACGUUUGGUUUUGGUGGAAAGUCAGAUCAUUUCUCUAGCAUUCUGGCAAAUGGUAGUUUGCAGAUUGAUGAGUUGGUUCCAGUUCCUUUAGCAGGUACAUCACAUCUCAAUCAUAAUUCUGCCCCACUACCCAACAAAAAAAAAUACGACGGUGAUGUUCAUUGGUGCUUGGCCUCCAGAAGUGGGUUUGUCGGAUUUUCAUUUUCUUUGUAUAAUAAAUGUAAUACAUAACUCCUGGAGCCUAUGGAUUUUGGGGAGAUAGUGUAUGUACUGUAGGUUCAUUCUGUUUUCUCCUAAUGAAACUUGGGGUGUGUGCACAAUUACAGAAUUACCAAGGAGACAUUUUUCGGACAGAAAGAAAAUCUAAUAUUUGGUUUC